rnacentral:lncRNA from 1 species
CCGGUUUGAGCACUAAUUUGGUAGUUCACAAGUUGCCAAUUGAUCAUGUUUUUCCUCCUGUCAAGCAAAAGAUAAGAAAGCUCAAAACUGAUAUGAGUGUAAAGAUAAAAGAGAAAAUCAUGAAGCAACUCGAGGCUAAAGUCAUUCAAGUGGCCCAAUAUACUACUUGGUUAGCAAAUACUGUCCCUGUUCCAAAGAAGGAUGGCAAAGUUUGGAUGUGUGUUGAUUAUCGUCAUAUAAAUAAAGCAAGUUUGAAAGAUAAUUUUCCACUUCUCAAUAUCCAUAUUUUGUUGGAUAACUAUGCUAAACAUGAUCUGGCUUCUUUUGUGGAUUGUUAUGCGAGGUAUCACUAGAUCAUUAUGGAUCCAGAAGAUGCAGAAAAGACAUUAUUUAUUACUCCAUGGGGGACAUAUUGUUAUCAAGUCAUGCCUUUCGGACUAAAGAAUACUGGGGCAACUUAUAUGAGGGCAAUGACCACAAUGUUUCAUGAUAUGAUGCACAAAGAGAUUGAAGUUCAUGUGGAUAACGUGAUCAUUAAGUCAAGAGAGCAGUCUAACCAAGUCAAAGAUCUGAGAAAAAUCUUUGAAAGGCUUCGAAGGUAUGAUGUCAAACUUAACCCAGCAAAAUGUGUAUUCAGAGUUUCAUCAGGAAAACUUUUGGGUUUAUAGUCAGUCGACGUGGUAUUGAGUUAGAUCCUUCAAAAAUAAAAGCUAUCCAAGAUUUACCUCCACCAAAAAAUAACACGGAGGUGAUGAGUUUACUUGGAAGGUUGAAUUAUAUCAGCAGAUUCAUUGCUCAGCUUACGACAACCUGCGAUCCAAUAUUCAAGUUGUUGAAGAAGAAUGUUAAAGUUGAAUGGACUGAAGAAUGUCAAGAGGCAUUUGAUAGAAUUAAGAGACACUUGUCGAAUCCGCCUAUUUUGGUUCCUCCAGAGCCAGGCAGACCCUUGAUAUUGUACAUGUCUAUUUUAGAUAAUUCUUUUGGCUGUGUAUUGGGUUAACAUGAUGUCACGGGAAGAAAAAGUCAUCUACUACCUCAACAAAAAGUUUACCACUUAUGAGGCUAAGUACACUAUUCUUGAGAAGACGUGCUAUGCCUUAACUUGGGUAGCCCAAAAGCUGAAAUAUUACUUAUCAUCUUAUACUACUUACCUCAUCUCUAGUAUGGAUCCUUUAAAGUAUAUUUUUUAGAAGCCUAUGCCCACAGGGGCAGACUCGCGAGAUGGCAGAUAUUGCUCACAGAGUUUGAUAUUGUUUAUGUGACACGAACUGCAAUGAAAGCUCAAGCCUUGGCAGAUCAUUUGGCUGAAAAUCCUAUUGAUGAGGAGUAUGAGCCAUUAAAGACUUAUUUUUUAGAUAAAGAGGUAUUGUAUAUUGAUGAGUUUAUUUCUAACGAUUGCCAUUCGAGCUGAAAGUUGUUCUUUGAUGGAGAUGCUAAUAUAAAAGGAGUGGGGAUAGGAGCGGUUUUUAUUUCUGAAUCAGGACAAUAUUAUCCUAUAACAGCCCAACUUUGAUUCUACUGUACCAAUAAUAUGGAAGAAUAUGAAGCUUGCAUCCUGGGAUAGAGAUUAGCUAUUGACAUGGGGGUCCAAGAAUUGUUGGUAUUAGGAGAUUCAGAUUUAUUAAUCCACCAAAUCCAAGGAGAUUAGGAGACUCGUGAUUCGAAACUCCUAUCAUGUAGAGGUUGUUUGCAGGAUAUUUGUCAACAAUUUAUAUUAGAGAAGUUCAAACAUAUUCAUCGAGCUCAUAAUAAGAUUGCUGAUGCUUUGGCGAUCUUAUCUUCAAUGCUUCAACAUCCCAACAAAACUUAUAUUGACCCUUUGCAUAUACAGAUUUAUGAUCAACAUGCAUAUUACAAUGUGGUUGAAGAAGAACUUGAUGGGGAGCCGUGGUUCUAUGAUAUUAAAGAAUAUAUUCAGACUGAGAAAUAUCCUGUAUAUACUGAUGGUAAUCAAAAGAGAACCAUUCGACGUUUGUCUAGUGGAUUUUUCUUAAGUGGAGGAAUCUUGUAUAAGAGUACUCCUGAUUUGGGACUUUUGAGGUGUAUAGAUGCUAAACAAGCUUCAAAAAUUAUGACUGAAGUAUAUUCUGGAAUUUGUGGACCACACAUGUGUGGGUAUGUUUUGGCAAAGAAAAUACUCCGAGCAGAUUAUUAUUGGCUCACCAUGGAACGAGAUUCUAUCAAUUUCAUUCGUAAAUGUCAUGAAUGCCAGUGACCAAAAAAGUAGUGGUUGAUGGCCCCUCCUUCUGACUUGCAUACAAUGACUACUCCAUGGCCUUUUGCAGCUUAGGGAAUGGAUGUAAUUGGACCAAUUGAACCAAAGGCCUCUAAUGGACAUAGGUUCAUCUUGGUAUCCAUUGAUUAUUUCACAAAGUGGGUGGAAGCAACGACUUUCAAGUCAGUGACCAAAAAAAUAGUGGUUGAUUUUAUUCACUCCAACAUCAUUUGUCGGUUUGGCAUUCCAAAGAUAAUUGUCACAGAUAAUGCUAUGAAUCUCAAUAUCCAUCUGAUGCAAGAAGCGUGCCGACAAUUUAAAAUUAUGCAUCGAAAUUCAACUCCUUAUCGUCCAAAGGCGAAUGGAGCUGUAAAAGCUGUCAACAAGAACUUAAAGAAAAUACUCCGUAAGAUGGUACAGGGUUCCUGACAAUGGCAUGAAAAGUUACCUUUUGCUCAGUUGGGUUAUCGUACUAUAGUUCGGACUUCAAUUGGUGCAACUCUUUACUUGUUAGUGUACGGAACUGAAGCAGUUAUACUUGCAGAAAUUGAAAUUCCAUCUCUUUGAGUAGUUGUAGAAGCUGAAAUUGAUGAUGACCAAUGGGUCAAGACUCAUUUGGAGUAAUUAAGCUUGAUUGAUGGUAAAAUAUUAACAUCAAUAUGUCAUGGAAAACUAUAUCAGAAGAGAAUGGCACGAGGAUAUAACAAAAAGGUACGUCACAAACAUUUUAAAGUUGGUCAGUUAGUACUAAGACGCAUCCUACCCCAUCAGAUUGAAGCCAAAGGCAAUUUUUCUCCUAAUUGGCAUGGGCCAUUCAUGGUGAAGAAAGUGUUACCUAAUGGCCGUUAUAUCUGACUGAUGUAGAAGGCAAAAUGGAAGGAAUGUCGGUCAAUGCUGAUGCAGUUAAAAGAUAUUAUGUAUGAUAUUCAUGUACAAUUAUGUUAUGUAUGUUUUGUACUUACAUUUUUAAAGAUUUUAAAUGAUGAAAGCAUUUUGUUCUACUAUCUGAAUAAUAUAUCAACCUUUGCUUACCCCUUUGAGCUUUUAUUUUUCUUUAUACCCCUCUUUUGGAAUCAAAUUAAAGUCAGAAAAAAAGUUUAAAAAAAAAGAAAAAAAGAAAAAAAAAUCAAUCAAAAAUUCAAAAUCAAACAAAAGAAUGAUGUUUCUUGAACUACGUUUGACCUGAUUCUUCCUAUGACAAGAUACGUAGGCAUCCCUACUCCGGGGUUCGGUCUAACCAGAAGAAAAUUUAAAUUACCCAGAAUAAAUGAAACUGGGGCAAAAAAAAAAUUUCUUAAAAUAAUCAAUUCCAAAAGUUGUAUGUUUCACCCAAUGUUAUAUAAAUUUUUUGAGCCUCAUGCUGACCUUUCUUUCUAACCCUAUCCAAAAUCCAAGUUACAACCAAAGAAAGACCUGCGGAUCAAUCUUUGCGAAUGUCAAGGCUAAAAAUGUUAUGAGUGCAUGAUAUUUCAUAUUUUGGGUGUUUAUCUACAAAAAAAAAAUGAAAAUGAGAGAGUCUUAUUGGUGAAAACCCUUUCGGGCACCAUAAGACGACUGUGAGCUAAGGCAAAAAUGAAAAGGAGAUAGGCUCGUUGGCAAAAAUCCAUUGAGGUGACACUAGCCUAAGAAAUAUUGUUAUCAAGAAAGAACAAGUUCGAGAUUGACUUAAUUUUAAGCUCAAUAAGUGGACAAAAGUUGUAAUGAUUGGUGUGGGUAAAUAUGGUUGUUUGAUUCAAAUGCAUGUCAUAAUCACUAGAAUCGAUUUUCAUAUUCAGAUAAGUUUUCUCUUUGUUUUGAAAAAGAGAUGCCUACAAUCUUUUUCUUUUUAUUUUAUUUUAAUUUUUGAUUUUUGUUUCCUUGUCAUCAAACAAAAAAAUUUUACUGUCUUUUGAGUCAAAUUCACGUCAGGUCGAGUGAGAAAGAACUCCAAACUUGCUACCAACUCCUUUCAGAGUACAAAGCAAGACAAAGGGCCGAUGCACAGAGACAACGUUUCAAAGUAAAAGUAAGAUACUCAAGAUGAUUGUGAUUUGACCAUUUUAAACUCGUGAAAAUCUAAGGGAUGUAUUGAGGUUAAACUCAGAAGCAUCAUACAAUGGAAAUAUGAUUUGAUUUGAUUUGAGGAACUCAGUAGUCAGAAUUUUGAGUCAGAAGUACGUCAUUCAAUGAAUAUUAUCAUGGUUUAGAGUAGAGUUAAGCAUGGCAAGUGCGAGAGCGACUACUUCAAAAGCCAAAUGCCACAAACCAACCACCACAUGUUUUAAAACUCACAAUUUUUCUUUGUUUGGAACAAAGAUGAAAUAAUUAUUUUCAGAUAAAAGAUGCGAUUUCAAACUUCACUCAAUCUAAGAAGCAUGGUUACAACAUCUGAUGCUGGAUCUCGGUCAUGGUAAACUUUAUACUUUGCGAGAUAUAUUAAGAUCCAGUGACACAUAAAUUUUUCCAGUACAAACUGGGGCAAAAAUUUUAUGUGUGUUGUAUGAAAUUUAUUUUUUGCUCAGGACCUUCCUGAAGAAUAGGAAUUUAUUUUUGCUCAGGACCCUCCUGAAGAAUGAGAAUUUACUUUUUACUCAGGACCAUCUUGAAGAAUGGGAUGUUAUUUUUCUGUUUCACCUUUUAUUUUGAGUUCAGGAACAUAUUUGAAAAUCAAAAAUUGCAAGUUCAGGAGACCGCCUGAAGAACAGGGUGAAGAAAUUGCAAGUCAGGAGCCCGCCUGAAGAACAGGGUGAAGAAAUAGCAAGUCCAGGAGCCUGCCUGAAGAACAGGGUGAAGAAAUAGUAAAUCCAGGAGCCCGCCUGAAGAACAGGGUAAAGAAAUUGGAAGUCAGGAGCCCGCCUGAAGAACAGGGUGAAGAAAUAGCAAGUCCAGGAGCCCACCUGAAGAACAGGGCGAAGAAAUUGCAAAUCCAGGAGCCCGCCUGAAAAACAGGGUGAAGAAAUUGAAAGUCAGGAGCCCGCCUGAAUAACAGGGUGAAAAAAUAACAAGUCAGAGAUCCAUUUGAAGAACAGAAUGAAUUUUCAAGUUCAAGGCAUCAAGAUUUGAAUCGAGGUACUAGAGAUUGUAAUUUUCAUUUCAUUUUUUUUAUUUUUCUUAGUCAUUUGAAUGUAAAAGGCAGAAGUUGUUAACCGAAAUCUUGACGAAAUCUCACUCGACUCUAACUUUUUCUCUCACCAAAUUACCUUUGAACUACUCGUGACCUGAUUCUCUUAUAACCCGGGAUAGGUAGGACGUCCAAAAACAGGAUUCGGUCACAUUUUUUCUUUUAUUUUUAUUUUUAUUUUUAUCUUUACCUUCCAAAUAAUUGGAGGUUCAAAAAUCAUAUUUUGUCUACUUCUUUGUAUGAAAAAUCUUCGAAAUUUCACACAAAGAGGGGCAAAAAUGUAGACACGUGAUUUUUGAUCCUUAUCAAAUUUUAACUUAUUUUUAUAUUAAAUAUUUAUAUUUGGCAUAGUAUUAUUUAAUUUCUUAUUUUAUUCUUAUAAAAUUUUAGUUAAAAAAAUAAUAAUUAAAUAAAUUUAAUUUUUGAUGUAAAUUUUUAUUUUUACUUUUUAUCUUAAUUUUAAAAAAAAAUAUAAGAUACAUAUAUAUAUAUAUAUAUAUAUAUAUAUAUAUAUUAUUCAUUCUAAAUUUCAAUAAAUAAAUUAGUAGUUUAAUACUAUUUUAUUGUAUUUAUUUUUUUCUAUUUACAAUUUGUUAUUAUGUUUUGUUAAAUAUAAAAUUAAUUACUAUUUUAUUUAUUAUUGUUAUUUUUGUCUAUUUAUAAAUUCUUAUGAUGUUUUGUUAAAUAUAAAAUUAACAAUUAUUUUAUUUAUUAUUAUUAUUAUUUCAUUAUUUAUUAUUAUUAAUAUAUUUAUUUAUUAUUAUUAUUUUCUAUUUAAAAAAUAAUUAAUUAAUUAAUUUAAAUUUCAAAUAUUCCCUUCCCCUUAUUUGUUGAUAAGGAUUACCCUAAAAACAACCGUUCCUCCCAAAAUUUCCUCUCCAUCAGUGAGAAAGAAAAUCAAAAUACAGAGAAAAAAAAGUAAAAAAUCAUAGAAGAGAGAAAAAUAUCAGACAAAAAAGAGAAAAGAAGGAAGUUGAAGGUCCCGUUGAAGGUUCUGGUGACAGAUUUCUUUGUUCAUUAGUCCAUUCAAUUUAUUAUAGGUUUUUUAUUCGAUCCUGUAUCACUCACGUUAUGAAUUUACUUAUAAAUGCAUGAAUAAAGAUGUUUAAGUUUCUUUAUGUAUUAUUUAAUAAACAUAGUUAAUUGAUUAUGCGAGUUACUUAUUAUUGCAUGUUAUUUAAUUAAGUUAUAACAUAUUUAUUUAUGGUUUUUUGAGUGUUAAAAAUCUGUGUGUUAAUUCUGUUAAAGUUAAAAAUUUGAACCGAAAAGAGAAAUAGAUGAAAAGAAAAUUGACAGGCUUUUUGAUGUACACAUGAUCACACACACUAUUUUUCAACUUACAUACACUACAGAUUUCAUACAUCAACAUUUGUAUUCAUUGAAAAAUAGACGUACAAUAAUACACACAAGGUAUAUAAAAAUUGUGAGAAAAUCUGGAUGAAAGGAGAGAAAAACUAGUAAAAUUUGGAUGAAUUAGAUAGCAUAAGAAAGAUAUAGAUCGGAGGAGAUGCCGGUAAGAAGAUAUUUUCUAGUGAAAUCCUCAUUGGAUUCGUUGCCGGAAAACACUUACAUUCACUGUUUCGUCACAGUUAAGGCGAUUAGUCGCUGGAAAAACCCAAACCAGUGAUGCCGUCUCUCUUUCUUCCUUUUUCGGCUACCACUAGUACCGCCGAUGCUGCUUCUCUUUCUUUUUUCCCCCUCCCCGUCAGAAAGUUCAAAAAACAUUGCUGAAGCCGCUAGCGCCGCCAGCGACGCCGUCAACGGCAAAAACGCCGACUAAAUUGCUAGCCAUCAUCCUUACUCGCAGAUCUGGCCGAUCCCUCACCAUAUUUGUACCACUGGCCGACAAACCUACAGCCCGCAUACAUCGAUCUACGCACAAACCCACCGAAAAACACAUACGCACCUUGCACGCACACCUGCCUGCGACGACCACAUUGCCGGAAAAAUCCCCACUGUCGCCAUACCAUUUAAAGGCUAGAUCUAGCCAGAAUUAAGAGUUUCAAUGGCUUUUUGAAGGAUUGGGUUCCGUUAUAUUUUUUAUAUCUGUAUGUGUUAAUUUUUAUACAAGUUUGUUUAGAAUAAUUUAACAUUUGAUGAUAGUUAACUUUAAAUAUUUAAGAAAUAAUGAAGUAUAUUUGAUUAAACAAAAAUGACAAUAUGCAGAUUUAAAAGUGCAUUUUAAUUACUGUUUAACUUAUUUUCUUGGAUUUUAUAAAUUAAAAUCUCAAAAAAAAAAUAUUAGUUUAAGAUCAAAAAGAUAAUAUGUAAUUUCGGAUGAGAUUUUUAUAAUGUUUAAUUAAUUUUAUUUAAAUUAUUUUUGAAUAUAAAGUAUUUGAUAGUUUUCUCCUUCAUGACAAGUCCGAUUGUAAAACAAUUUAACUAUG